rnacentral:tRNA from 1 species
UCCCUGGUUGCUCAGACAGUAAAGCGUCUGCCUGCAAUGCAGGAGACCCGGUUCAAUUCCUGGGUAGGGAA